UUGCACGCUGGCGGCCUGCCUUACACAUGCAAGUCGCACGGCAGCACGGGUGCUUGCACCUGGUGGCGAGUGGCGAACGGGUGAGUAAUACAUCGGAACAUGUCCUGUAGUGGGGGAUAGCCCGGCGAAAGCCGGAUUAAUACCGCAUACGAUCUACGGAUGAAAGCGGGGGACCUUCGGGCCUCGCGCUAUAGGGUUGGCCGAUGGCUGAUUAGCUAGUUGGUGGGGUAAAGGCCUACCAAGGCGACGAUCAGUAGCUGGUCUGAGAGGACGACCAGCCACACUGGGACUGAGACACGGCCCAGACUCCUACGGGAGGCAGCAGUGGGGAAUUUUGGACAAUGGGCGAAAGCCUGAUCCAGCAAUGCCGCGUGUGUGAAGAAGGCCUUCGGGUUGUAAAGCACUUUUGUCCGGAAAGAAAUCCUUGGCCCUAAUACGGUCGGGGGAUGACGGUACCGGAAGAAUAAGCACCGGCUAACUACGUG
rnacentral:rRNA from 1 species